AAAUUUUAUUUAAUCUUUUAUUUCAGCUCAUGAAAAAUGGGACCCAAACUUUACAUGUUGCGUUUAUAUUUUUGUUCAGGGCUAGCUAGAUAGCUACUAUACUGGUGCAAAAUUUUGAUUGUAGGGUGUUUGUCAGCAAAUAUAAUUAAGUUUACACUAUUCAUCUAUGGCAAAGAUACUUAUAUGUUUCCCCUUUCAUCUGUGUCUGGUGUUAGCUAGUUACUGGUUAGCUAGGUCUUCAUCUGUGUCUGGUGUUAGCUAGUUACUGGUUAGCUAGGUCUUCAUCUGUGUCUGGUGUUAGCUAGUUACUGUUUAGCUAGGUCUUCAUCUGUGUCUGGUGUUAGCUAGUUACUGUUUAGCUAGGUCUUCAUCUGUGUCUGGUGUUUAGUUAGUUACUGGCUAGCUAGGUCUUCAUCUGUGUCUGGUGUUAGCUAGUUACUGUUUAGCUAGGUCUUCAUCUGUGUCUGGUGUUUAGUUAGUUACUGGCUAGCUAGGUCUUCAUCUGUGUCUGGUGUUAGCUAGUUACUGUUUAGCUAGGUCUUCAUCUGUGUCUGGUGUUGGCUAGUUACUGGUUAGCUAGGUCUUAAUCUGUGUCUGGUGUUAGCUAGUUACUGGUUAGCUAGGUCUUCAUCUGUGUCUGGUGUUAGCUAGUUACUGGUUAGCUAGGUCUUCAUCUGUGUCUGGUGUUAGCUAGUUACUGGUUAGCUAGGUCUUCAUCUGUGUCUGGUGUUAGCUAGGUCUUCAUCUGUGUCUGGUGUUAGCUAGUUACUGGUUAGCUAGGUCUUCAUCUGUGUCUGGUGUUAGCUAGGUCUUCAUCUGUGUCUGGUGUUAGCUAGUUACUGGUUAGCUAGGUCUUCAUCUGUGUCUGGUGUUAGCUAGUUACUGGUUAGCUAGGUCUUCAUCUGUGUCUGGUGUUAGCUAGUUACUGGUUAGCUAGGUCUUCAUCUGUGUCUGGUGUUAGCUAGUUACUGGUUAGCUAGGUCUUCAUCUGUGUCUGGUGUUAGCUAGUCAACACAUCCGUCAAUGCUGCUGUGAAUCACAUAACAAGAGACAUGGAAAACGGGAGGGAGACCAAAACAUUGACAUCAUUGAUGCAAUUUCAAUGUCGUUUGAGUUGCUUUGUGUAUCACCAAGUUUUCUUGAGAAGAUUUUACUGCAACACUGCUCACUGCAUCCAAGUUUCUUGACAUAGGAGUUUCAAAGAGCUGUCAAUCAAUGCGAGCUCAUGAAUAUAAGCUCCACGCCCACGCCUGUCUUUUCAAACUUCCUGUUAGCCAUGAGAGAAAAAAUUAUAAUAGCAUUUCUAUCCCCCCAAAAUAUUAUGGGAGAUAGUUUAGUCACUCAAAAGGCUAUUUUACAUGGGAUUCAGAAUGACUAUUCGGGACCUUUAAGCAGUGAUCAGUGUUAUUUCCUGGUAGUUAUUUUCUGCCAAUAAAAGCUAGUUCUCGGGUUUCCUCUCCCCACUCAGACCACUCCCAGAGACUCCUAACAACAUUUGUGCUUGAGAAAUAGUUUUUUGCUAAAAAGCUAUUUUUGCCCAUUUGAAUGGAAAUCUAUUACAGUAAGGUACUUAUUGUUUUCCUCAGCAUAUUGCUCUGCUAAUUCCAUAUGACUGUUUAUAAAUUAGACUGAGGUAAUCCACCCAUUCAUGCUGGAGGUGAAUGCCAGCAACUUUGCUAUUCUGCCUCAAAUGUAGCUCCGUCAUUGUCCAUUAUUAGGACACUGCCAGAGUUAGAUAUCUCAAAUGGACUGUGUAUGUGCAGCAUGAAAGCCAUAGGAAUCAGGACCUUGUCACACUUGCCAUGGAAGAAAUCUUAUCCGUACCAGCUCCUCUACUUUCUUCUCAUUGAAUCUUCUCGUUGAAUCCCUGACACUGCUUGUGUCUGAUACAGAAUGUUGUUUGGCGUGAGCACAACCAUAUGAGAUAUGUCAUUGGGAGUCCCCUAUCAGUUCAGUUGC